UACGGAGGGAGCUAGCGUUGUUCGGAAUUACUGGGCGUAAAGAGCGUGUAGGCGGUUUGGUAGGUCCGCUGUGAAAACUCGAGGCUCAACCUCGAGACGCCGGUGGAAACCAUCAGGCUAGAGUCCGGAAGAGGAGAGUGGAAUUCCUGGUGUAGCGGUGAAAUGCGCAGAUAUCAGGAAGAACACCCGUGGCUAAGGCGGCUCUCUAGUACGGUACUGACGCUGAGACGCGAAAGCGUGGGGAGCGAACAGG
rnacentral:rRNA from 1 species